AGAUAUCUUCUAGAUUGAGUCUAGUGCAAGUGGGAGACUGUUGGAGGUAUGCCCUAGAGGCAAUAAUAGAGAUAAUGAUAUUCUCUUGUAUCCAUGUUUUAUAUUGUGUUCCUUGAAUGGUAAAGGCUACUUGAAUUGAUUUGCAAUUAUAUGAAUUGUGUGUGAAACUCUUUACUUGUAUGGUUAUUCUAAAAGUUGUCCCUAGUCAGAGUUCAUGUGAGGACAUACUUGAAUAUUUUAGUAGCACAUGUAUCAGUUGAUGACUAUGUUUCACAAGUCAUGGACAUGGAGAUAUCAAACUAAUAAUGUGGGCACGUGUAGAGACAAGUGCUAGGACUGACCCAAUGCGAG
rnacentral:lncRNA from 1 species